CUACGGGCUGCAGCAGUCGAGAAUCUUCCGCAAUGCGCGAAAGCGUGACGGAGCAAUGCCGCGUGGUGGAUGAAGGCCUUAGGGUUGUAAACACCUGUCACAUGGGACGAAUUUUGACGGUACCAUGAGAGGAAGCCACGGCUAACUACGUGCCAGCAGCCGCGGUAAUACGUAGGUGGCGAGCGUUGUUCGGCUUUAUUGGGCGUAAAGGGUCCGCAGGGGGUUUGCUAAGUCUGAUGUGAAAUCCCAGGGCUCAACCCUGGAACUGCAUUGGAAACUGGCGGACUAGAGUAUCGGAGAGGUAAAUGGAAUUCCUGGUGUAGUGGUGGAAUGCGUAGAUAUCAGGAAGAACACCGAGAGCGAAGGCAAUUUACUGGACGAUCACUGACCCUCAGGGACGAAAGCGUAGGUAGCGAACAGGAUUAGAUACCCGCGUAGUC
rnacentral:rRNA from 1 species